AGGUUUUAGUUUUUUUAAAAUGUUGGAUUGCAAUUCCGAAGAUUUUAAGACCUU
rnacentral:tRNA from 1 species